UGAAUGGAAGCGAGAGAUGGGAACACACAGGCUUCAUUUAUUUCUCACUCUUUCUUUCUCCUGGUCUCUCCUUCUCCCUCCCUCUGUCUGUUUGUAUCUAUCUCUCUCUCUCUCUCGCUCUCACUCUCGCUCUCUCUCCUACUGUCUCUCUUUCCUUAUUCCUCUGUCUAUUUCUAUCUAUGUCUCUCUCUCUCUCGCUCUCUCUCUCUCUCUCUCUCUCUCUCCCUCUCCCUCUCCCUCUCCGUCUAUGCCUCUCUGUCUCUCGAUCUCUCUCUUUCUCUUUCUCUCUCUAUCGCUCUCCCUCACUCCCUAUGUCUCUCUUUUCUUCCCCAUCUGUCUAUGUCUCUCUGCCCUCUCUCUCUCCCUGCAGCUCAACGUGAUCUUCCUGGGCAUCGCGCUCUACAAGAUGUUCCACCACACGGCCAUCCUGAAGCCGGACUCGGGUUGCCUGGACAACAUCAACCAUCGCUAUUAUGAGGGAUGUGUUAUUGUGGAAUGGCAUUGCUAUCAAGAUUACGAGCCUGAAAUCAAGU